AGCGUUGCGCGCAUGCGCCUUGACGAGUGAGCCGGGUGAGGGGGCUCCCUAAGUAGCGGAAGGGGUAGAUGAAAAUGGAAGGGGCGGGCGCGCUAGGCCUAGUCCUGGCUGGGCUCCCGCUGGAGUGUGCGUUGGGGGCGGACCAGGAGCGGUGGUCUCCAGGGAGGUCGAGGCUGGGGCUCCCACCCGGAUUUGGAGCAGGGUCGCCGCGGCCCAGCUGACCCGCCGGCGUUUGUACGUUGUGUGCCCACUCAGGGAGCCAUGGACAACUGUUUGGCGGCCGCAGCGCUGAAUGGGGUGGACCGACGUUCCCUGCAGCGUUCAGCAAGGCUGGCUCUAGAAGUGCUGGAGAGGGCCAAGAGGAGGGCGGUGGACUGGCAUGCCCUGGAGCGUCCCAAAGGCUGCAUGGGGGUCCUUGCCCGGGAGGCGCCCCACCUAGAGAAACAGCCGGCAGCCGGCCCGCAGCGCGUUCUCCCGGGAGAGAGAGAAGAGAGACCCCCAACCCUUAGUGCUUCCUUCAGAACAAUGGCUGAAUUCAUGGACUAUACUUCAAGUCAGUGUGGGAAAUAUUAUUCAUCUGUGCCAGAGGAAGGAGGGGCAACCCAUGUCUAUCGUUAUCACAGAGGCGAGUCGAAGCUGCACAUGUGCUUGGACAUAGGGAAUGGUCAGAGAAAAGACAGAAAAAAGACAUCCCUUGGUCCUGGAGGCAGCUAUCAAAUAUCAGAGCAUGCUCCAGAGGCAUCCCAGCCUGCUGAGAACAUCUCUAAGGACCUCUACAUAGAAGUAUAUCCAGGGACCUAUUCUGUCACUGUGGGCUCAAAUGACUUAACCAAGAAGACUCAUGUGGUAGCAGUUGAUUCUGGACAAAGCGUGGACCUGGUCUUCCCUGUGUGAUGUUGACCAUCACUGCCAUCACAUCACCUUUUUUUAAGUAGUAAGAAUAAAGCCACUGUAUGAUUCUCUUAAUAGCUAUACAUUAAUCCUGUUUUUAGUGCUGACUGGGUCAGCCUUCCGGGAACUGGAGUCUGUCUCUUUCAGUGCUUUUUUGUUUGUUUGGUUGGUUUUUUUUUGAGACAGUCUCACUCUGUUGCCCAGGCUGGAGUGCAGUGGCGUGAUCUCGGCUCACUGCAAGUUCCGCCUCCCGGGUUCACACCAUUCUCCUGCCUCAGCCUCCCGAGUAGCUGGCACUACAGGCACCCGCCACCAUGCCCGGCUAUUUUUUUUGUAUUUUUAGUAGAGACGGGGUUUCACCAUGUUGGCCAGGAUGGUCUCGAUCUCUUGACCUCGUGAUCCACCCACCUUGGCCUCCCAAAGUGUUGGGAUUACAGGCGUGAGCCACCGCGCCCGGCCUCAGUGCCUUUUUUAACUUGAGGGUGUAGAGGUCCUCCACGCUUGUUUGCCUGAAAGUAAUAUAAUGAUGCUGUCUGAACAGGUUUUACUGCUUGCUUUCCAAGUAAAGGUUAAUUAUGAUAAUAAAGAGAUUUGGAAAUGAA